rnacentral:rRNA from 1 species
CUUGGUCAUUUAGAGGAAGUAAAAGUCGUAACAAGGUUUCCGUAGGUGAACGUGCGGAAGGAUCAUUAUUGAAUGUAGAGGAGUUGUUUAGCUGGCCUUUCGAGGUAUUGUGCUCGCUCCUUUCACUCUCUUACCACCUGUGCACCUCUUGUAGUCUUUUUGUAUUCCUCUUCGGAGGAAGGCGGAGUGUUGCCGUACGCAAGCAUUGGCUCUACUCCAUCUCAAAAGGACUAUGUUUUUACAUACCCCUUCAAUAAACCUUUGAAUGUCUUCUAGUCUUGCCGUCAAAAAGCAGACUUAUUAAAUUACAAUUUUUAACAAUGGAUCUCUUGGCUCUCGCAUCGAUGAAGAACGCAGCGAAAUGCGAUAAGUAAUGUGAAUUGCAGAUUUCAGUGAAUCAUCGAAUCUUUGAACGCACCUUGCGCUCCUUGGUAUUCCGAGGAGCAUGCCUGUUUGAGUGUCAUUAAUCUCUCAACCUUGCCAGCUUUAUUGUUGUUGCAAGGCUUGGAUGUGAGUGUAUGCUGGCUCCUUAGUUGAGUCGGCUCACUUUAAAUGUAUUAGCGGAACCUCUGCGACCCAUCAUUGGUGUGAUAAUCUAUCUACGCUAUUGGUGCAAGCCUUCUUUAUUGAAGUUGGAUCAGCUUCUAACCGUCUUCGGACAACGUCGUAUUUGUUUUACUACGAAUCGAUAAUUUGACAACUUGACCUCAAAUCAGGUAGGACUACCCGCUGAACUUAAGCAUAUCAAUAAGCGGAGGA